rnacentral:rRNA from 1 species
AUGGCGCCCUCGUUGCUCGUCUCGGCGAGCCAAAUCCUCGCCGUUGCCGGCCGGGGAGGCCGUAGGCGGCGUCUGGUCAUCGCCAACUCCGGCGGUGCCGGCACUCCCCCGAAGCUGGUGACUUUCCUCGGCAAGGGAGGCUCCGGCAAGACCACGGCGGCCGCCAUCGCUGCUCAGUAUUAUGCAAGUGAAGGCCUGAAGACAUGCCUGGUUAUACAGUCGCAAGACCCGACAGCAGAGCAAUUGAUGGGCUGUAAGAUUGGGAACUCGCUCACUGAAUGUGCUGCUAAUCUUUCGACCAUAAAGCUCGAGACCAGUAAAAUGCUACUUGAGCCCCUUGACCGGUUGAAGAAAGUAGAUGCCCAGAGCAAUCUCACUCAAGGAGUUCUUGAGGGGAUUGUAGGAGAGGAGCUUGGAGUCUUACCUGGAAUGGAUUCGAUCUGCUCAGUCUUGUCUCUUCAGAAGCUGCUCAACUUCUUUUCAGUUGGAACGAAUAGUCCACAGGGGGAAUUUGAUGUCGUAGUGUAUGACUGCAAUAAUACAGAGGAAUUUCUGCGGCUGACUGGUGCUACUGAGAGGGCAAGAUCUUAUUUGAAGUAUGUGAGGGAACUAGCAGAGAAGACUGACAUAGGAAGACUGGCUUCUCCAUCAUUACUGAAACUGAUUUAUGAUGCCGUGAGACCAAAUGGUAGAACUGGUGAAGUAAGAAUGAGUGCAGAGAUAUGGAAUGAAAUUGAACAACUUCUUGAGAAAAUCUCGCUUUGGUUUACUGAUCCCUCAAAACUUGCGUGCUUCCUCAUCAUGGACCCGAGAGGAUCAAUCUCUGUGUCCUCUGCGCUAAGAUACUGGGGUUGCACCAUCCAAGCUGGCGCGCAAAUAUGUGGAGCAUUUGGUUAUGCUGAGGACCCUUCUGAAAUACACCAAGGAGUUGCUGAGAAGUUUUUGCCAUUGUCUUUCUCGUCUCUGCCAUUUCUGCCAACUGAUUCUUCUGCAGAUUGGGGCAGAGCGUUAAAUUCAUUGAAUCAAAAUACAAAGGGGCUGUUGAGGAAUACAAGCAAGGUUUAUCCUUCAGUUAGUUUUGAUUCUGCACAGAAGUCGGUGACCCUUUUCAUGCCAGGAUUUGACAAGUCUGAGAUCAAACUAUAUCAGUAUAGAGGCGGUUCGGAGCUAUUGAUCGAAGCCGGCGACCAGAGGCGCGUGAUCAAGCUGCCCCCGGCGAUGCAGGGGAAGGUUGGGGGCGCCAAGUUCGUCGACAGGAAUCUCGUCGUUACCAUCCGGUAG